rnacentral:lncRNA from 1 species
GGGAAGUUAAUUUAUGUUUGUGGCAAAAUGUAGAGUUUGAACAUUUGGGAGGUAAAAUGAUACAUGUGUUUAAGUGCAAAGGAGAUGUUUUGGAAGGUGCAAAGGAGUGUGUGACAACAUGGUUUCAUAAGCUUCUCAAUCUGAUCCAAGGUUCCUGGUCUGUGCCCCUCUUCUAUUCCUUCCAGACCACCUUAGACUGCUUUGGCAAUCUUUAAAUGGAAUCUGAACCAUCAGUGCAGAGGUGAGUCCUAAAGAGAUCCCCUAACUGUGUUAAACUGGGAAGAAUACUGUGGCAGUGGCAGAGUUUCAGAAGUGCCCAUCAAUGCAGUGGGCUGCCCAGAAGAGAGAAGUAUCACAGGAAAGAUGGAGACUGAAUUUAAAUUCAGUGAGGAUAACAUGUCAGAGCAAGGAUGAUGACCAGCUAUACCAGAAGAGCUGUGUAGGAGUGAGAUCCUUGAGAUUUGCCCAGGGAGACCAUGAAUUACUGUGGUGAAACCACUUUCAUUCAAAGGGAAACAGCAAAAACUGGGCUGGACAUGAUCCAAUACAGAGUUGGAAGAGAGGAAGUGAGUGCGGUGGUUUUAGCCCAUGCUUGCAACAAGUUUACAGACAAAGGAACGGAGGAAAAGAAGAACUGCUGAAAUAGAGACCUGCUCUGAGACCACCUCUGGUUGUGAUCCACAUAUGCUACUGAAGCUGGCUGGAAUGGUGUGACAAAUGAGAUUCAGAUGGAUCACUUUACCAGCUGUCAAGGCCAAUACUUCUGUACAGUCCCUGCUCUCAGCAACAUCCUCAGUGUCCUGGUGGUGGGGUGUCUUGGAAGGACUGUGCAGAUCAAGCUUCACACUCCCUCUGCACUUGAGGCUCUCUCUGCUGCAGAAAGCUGCACCAUUCGGAAGAAGCAAGGCAGUCUUUCCUCACAGCUACGAUGCUGCACCGCUUUCGACAGAACCUGCUUUUCCCUCCAUUUACCUGGGCGGCUGCUGCUCUUUCUGCUGCUGCUGGGGCUGCUGCAGUCCUGCUGCCUGCACUUCCCCCUGGCUUGGCUGGCUCGAAACUCUCUCGUCUGCACAUUGCUAAGGAAGAAGAGCGAUGGAGCCGCGGAUUUUUUUUAUUGGUUCUGGAAGCCAAGGGUUGCAAUAUGUGAUGAUUUUGGGGUUUUCUGUGGCAGGGCAGAGGGAGGAGAAAGAAAGGGUGUUAAUCUAGGAUAG